rnacentral:rRNA from 1 species
CCUACGGGAGGCUGCAGUGGGGAAUAUUGGACAAUGGGCGAAACUCUGAUGCAGCAACGCCGCGUGAGUGAGGAAGUAUUUCGGUAUGUAAAGCUCUAUCAGCAGGGAAUAGAAGAGAAGGUACCUGAUAAAGUAGCCCCUGCUAACUACGUGCCAGCAGCCGCGGUAAUACGUAGGGGGCAAGCGUUAUCCGGAUUUACUGGGUGUAAAGGGAGCGUAGACGGAAAGGCAAGUCAGAAGUGAAAACCCAAGGCUCAACCAUGGGACUGCAUUUGAAACUGUCAAACUAGAGUACGGGAGAGGUAAGAGGAAUUCCUAGUGUAGCGGUGAAAUGCGUAGAUAUUAGGAAGAACACCAGUGGCGAAGGCGGCUUACUGGACCGUAACUGACGGUGAGGCUCGAAAGCGUGGGGAGCAAACAGGAUUAGAUACCCGAGUAGUC